rnacentral:rRNA from 1 species
UACGUAGGGUGCAAGCGUUAAUCGGAAUUACUGGGCGUAAAGCGUGCGCAGGCGGUUUUGUAAGCCAGAUGUGAAAUCCCCGGGCUUAACCUGGGAAUGGCAUUUGGGACUGCAAGGCUUGAGUGCGGCAGAGGAGAGUGGAAUUCCUGGUGUAGCGGUGAAAUGCGCAGAUAUCAGGAAGAACACCCGUGGCUAAGGCGGCUCUCUAGUACGGGUACUGACGCUGAGACGCGAAAGCGUGGGGAGCGAACAGG